rnacentral:rRNA from 1 species
UACGUAGGGGCAAGCGUUGUCCGGAAUCAUUGGGCGUAAAGCGCGUGUAGGCGGUCCGGUAAGUCCGCUGUGAAAGUCGGGGGCUCAACCCUCGGAUGCCGGUGGAUACUGUCGGGCUUAAGUACGGAAGAGGCGAGUGGAAUUCCUGGUGUAGCGGUGAAAUGCGCAGAUAUCAGGAGGAACACCAAUUGCGAAGGCAGCUCGCUGGGACGUUACUGACGCUGAGACGCGAAAGCGUGGGGAGCAAACAGG